rnacentral:tRNA from 1 species
GGAGGGGUGGCCGAGUGGCUGAAGGCGACGGUUUGCUAAACCGUUAUACGGUUUAACGCUGUAUCGAGGGUUCGAAUCCCUCUCCCUCCGCCA